UAUCGUGCAGAUUAAAAAUAUUUUGAUUAGAUCUUUCGAUUUGAUAAGCAAUUUUAAAUAAAAACAGUGAUUUUUCUGGACUAUCAUCAGUGUGAGUGUACCCAGUUUCGAGAUUCAGACAUUAAUUCAAAAAUUAAAUAAGAAAUGAAAUUCCUCAUUAUUUUUGCGCUGGUUGCUGCCGUGGCCUCAGCCACCGUCAUCAAGCCUUCCCAUGACCAGAAAUUCCGCGAGGGAAGCAAUAACCAGAUGAUCGUCAAUAUCAUCGGUGCUUCUGACGUGCUUCCGGUUCCCCCUGCUCCGCCUGGACAGCCGAUCAACGUGGUUGAAACGGGAUCGAACAAACCCAUCACCGUUGCUGAACCGAGUACCAACAAACCUAUCUUCGUUGCUGAACCGAGUACCAACAAACCUAUCUUCGUUGCUGAACCGAGUACCAACAAACCUAUCUUCGUUGCUGAACCGAGUACCAACAAACCUAUCUUCGUUGCUGAACCGAGUACCAACAAACCCAUCACUGUUGCUGAACUGAGUACCAACAAACCCAUCACCGUUGCUGAACCGAGUACCAACAAACCUAUCUUCGUAGUGGAACCGAGUACCAACAAACCUAUUUUCGUUGUUGAACCAAGUACCAACAAACCUAUCUUCGUUGUUGAACCAAGUACCAACAAACCCAUCUUCGUUGUUGAACCGAGUACCAAAAAACCCAUCACCAUUGCUGAACCGAGUACCA